UGGUGGGUAGUUUGACUGGGGCGGUCUCCUCCCAAAGCGUAACGGAGGAGCACGAAGGUUAGCUAAUCCUGGUCGGACAUCAGGAGGUUAGUGCAAUGGCAUAAGCUAGCUUGACUGCGAGCGUGACGGCGCGAGCAGGUGCGAAAGCAGGUCAUAGUGAUCCGGUGGUUCUGAAUGGAAGGGCCAUCGCUCAACGGAUAAAAGGUACUCCGGGGAUAACAGGCUGAUACCGCCCAAGAGUUCAUAUCGACGGCGGUGUUUGGCACCUCGAUGUCGGCUCAUCACAUCCUGGGGCUGAAGUAGGUCCCAAGGGUAUGGCUGUUCGCCAUUUAAAGUGGUACGCGAGCUGGGUUUAGAACGUCGUGAGACAGUUCGGUCCCUAUCUGCCGUGGGCGCUGGAGAAUUGAGGGGGGCUGCUCCUAGUACGAGAGGACCGGAGUGGACGCAUCACUGGUGUUCGGGUUGUCAUGCCAAUGGCACUGCCCGGUAGCUAAAUGCGGAAGAGAUAAGUGCUGAA
rnacentral:rRNA from 1 species